rnacentral:misc_RNA from 1 species
GAUGAAGAACGUAGUGAAAUGCGAUAAGUAAUGUGAAUUGCAGAAUUCAGUGAAUCAUCGAAUCUUUGAACGCACCUUGCGCCCUUUGGCUAUUCCGAAGGGCAUGCCUGUUUGAGUAUCAUGAACACCUCAACUCUCAUGGCUUGCCAUGAAGAGCUUGGACUAUGGGGGUCUUGCUGGCCUGUGGUCGGCUCCUCUCAAAUGAAUCAGCUUGCCGGUGUUUGGUGGCGUCACAGGUGUGAUAACUAUCUACGCUUGUGGUUUCCCAUCAGGUAACCUCCAGUGAUGGAGGUUCGCUGGGGCUCAUAAAUGUCUCUCCUCAGUGAGGACAGAUUUUGACUGUUUGAUCUCAAAUCAGGUAGGACUACCCGCUGAACUUAAGCAUAUCAAUAAGCGGAGGA